UACGGGAGGCAGCAGUGGGGAAUAUUGCACAAUGGGCGAAAGCCUGAUGCAGCUAUGCCGCGUGUAUGAAGAAGGCCUUAGGGUUGUAAAGUACUUUCAUCGGGGAGGAAAAACAAAACUAAUAAUUUUAUUUCUUGACGUUACCCGAAAAAGAAGCACCGGCUAACUCCGUGCCAGCAGCCGCGGUAAUACGGAGGGUGCUAGCGUUAAUCAGAAUUACUGGGCGUAAAGAGCACGUAGGUGGUUUUUUAAGUCAGAUGUGAAAUCCCUGGGCUUAACCUAGGAACUGCAUUUUGAAACUGAAAUACUAGAGUAUCGUAGAGGGAGGUAGAAUUCUAGGUGUAGCGGUGAAAUGCGUAGAUAUCUGGAGGAAUACCUGUGGCGAAAGCGGCCUCCUAAACGAAUACUGACACUGAGGUGUGAAAGCGUGGGGAGCAAACAGGGAUUAGAUACC
rnacentral:rRNA from 1 species